UUAUUAUAUAAUUUUUUUUUAUUGUUAUUUUAUAUUUAUAUUAAAAUUUCUUUGUCAUUUUUUUUUCUUAGUAUUUGUUUGGAAUGCUUAUUUUAAAUUAUAGUUAAUUUUUAAUGUGAAUGAUUUUUUUUAUUAUUUUAUAAGAAUUUUAUAUAUUUUACCUUUUGUAUCAGGGUUGAUUAAAUAAUUUUGUUUUAUUACUAUUUCUCGAAUUGGGGUGAUUUAUGUUAAUAUGAUUUUUUAUGUUUCAUAAUUAUUUUUAAUAUUGACAUGGUAGUGAUAUUCUAUUCGUACUUCAGUAUAUCUAGUUUUCUGAGAUUAAAUUUAAUUUUAAAUUUGUUUUGAACUUUAUUAUUUUUUAUUCGGUUCUUAAUUUUUUUUUAUUUUUUAAGGGUUAAGCUUUAAAUAUAUAUUAUAAUUUAAUGUUUUGAAUUUUCUUUCUAGGCUUGGAAUCAGCCAUUAUUUUAAUUGCGUUUUAGUUUAGUUAAUUUUUUUUUAUUUAUUUUUUAUUUUAUUUAAUUUUAUUAUUGGAAUAUAUUCUUAAAUAUUUAAUGUUUAUUAAUAAUGAUUGAAUUAGUAUAAUUUUUUAUUUAAAAUAUGGUUUUUUGUAUUUAUUUUAAAGGAACUAGGCAAAUUUAUAAUAUUUCCGCCUGUUUAUCAAAAACAUCUCUUUUAGUUUUUAUUAAAGGUUGUGCCUGCUCACUGAUUGAUUAAAGAGCCGCGGUAUUUUGACCGUGCAAAGGUAGCAUAAUCAUUAGCAUAUUAAUUGUGUGCUGGAAUGAAAGGUUUGACGAGAAAUAUACUGUCUCUAUUGUAUUUUUAUAAUUUUAUUUUCUAGUUAAAAAGCUGGGAUUUUUUUUUAGGACGAUAAGACCCUAUAGAGUUUGAUUCUAUAUAUUUUAUUAUUUUGGGUUUAAUUAUUAAUAAUUAAUUUUAUUUUGAAUUUUGUUGGGGUGAUGUGAAUAAUAAUUAAACUAUUCAUUGUUAUUAUCAUUGAUUUAUGUUUUUUAUGAUCCUUUAUUAUUGAUUUAAAGAUAAAAUUACCUUAGGGAUAACAGCGCAAUUAUUUUUGAGAGUUCUUAUUGACAAGGUAGAUUGUGACCUCGAUGUUGGAUUAAGGUUUUUUUAGGUGAAGGUGCUUAAUUUAAUUGGUCUGUUCGACCAUUAAAAUCUUACAUGAUCUGAGUUCAGACCGGCGUGAGCCAGGUUGGUUUCUAUCCAAAAAUUUUAUUAGAUUUUCUAGUACGAAAGGACCGUUAAUUUUGAUUAUUUUAUAAUUAUUUGAUUAUUAUU
rnacentral:rRNA from 1 species